AUUGAACGCUGGCGGAAUGCUUUACACAUGCACGUCGAACGGUAGAGGGGGCAACCCCUUGAGAGUGGCGGAACGGGUGAGUAAUAUAUCGGAACGUGCCCAGUCGUGGGGGAUAACGUAGUGAAAAUUACGCUAAUACCGCAUACGAUCUAAGGAUGAAAGCGGGGGAUCGCAAGACCUCGCGCGAUUGGAGCGGCCGAUAUCAGAUUAGGUAGUUGGUAGGGUAAAGGCCUACCAAGCCAACGAUCUGUAGCUGGUCUGAGAGGACGACCAGCCACACUGGAACUGAGACACGGUCCAGACUCCUACGGGAGGCAGCAGUGGGGAAUUUUGGACAAUGGGCGAAAGCCUGAUCCAGCCAUUCCGCGUGCAGGAAGACGGUCCUAUGGAUUGUAAACUGCUUUUAUACAGGAAGAAACCCUCCCACGUGUGGGAGCUUGACGGUACUGUAGGAAUAAGGAUCGGCUAACUCCGUG
rnacentral:rRNA from 1 species